GAUGAACGCUGGCGACGUGCCUAAUACAUGCAAGUCGAGCGAACGGACGAGAAGCUUGCUUCUCUGAUGUUAGCGGCGGACGGGUGAGUAACACGUGGAUAACCUACCUAUAAGACUGGGAUAACUUCGGGAAACCGUAGCUAAUACCGGAUAAUAUUUUGAACCGCAUGGUUCAAAAGUGAAAGACGGUCUUGCUGUCACUUAUAGAUGGAUCCGCGCUGCAUUAGCUAGUUGGUAAGGUAACGGCUUACCAAGGCAACGAUGCAUAGCCGACCUGAGAGGGUGAUCGGCCACACUGGAACUGAGACACGGUCCAGACUCCUACGGGAGGCAGCAGUAGGGAAUCUUCCGCAAUGGGCGAAAGCCUGACGGAGCAACGCCGCGUGAGUGAUGAAGGUCUUCGGAUCGUAAAACUCUGUUAUUAGGGAAGAACAUAUGUGUAAGUAACUGUGCACAUCUUGACGGUUCCUAAUCAGAAAGCCACGGCUAACUACGUG
rnacentral:rRNA from 1 species